rnacentral:lncRNA from 1 species
AAAGUCCACAAAAUACUAUGUGGGGAUAUGGUACAAGAAAAUCUCAGAGCAAACCAUUGUGUGGGUAGCUAACCGAGACUAUUCAUUCACAAAUCCAUCCGUGGUUCUUACUGUCAGCACAGAUGGCAACCUCGAGAUUUUGGAGGGGAAGAUUUCGUACAAGGUGACAAGCAUAUCAUCAAACAGCAACACUAGUGCCACCCUGUUGGAUUCUGGAAAUCUUGUUUUGAGAAAUAAGAAGUCAGAUGUCUUAUGGGAGAGCUUUGACUAUCCAUCGGACACGCUCCUGCCCGGAAUGAAACUUGGAUAUGACAAAAGGGCUGGAAAAAGAUGGUCAUUGGUAUCAUGGAAGAGUAGAGAAGAUCCCAGUCCAGGAGCUUUCUCCAUAGAACAUGACGCGAAUGAAAGUAGCCAGAUUUUUAACCUGCAAGGACCCAAAAUGUAUUGGACUACUGGGGUGUGGGAUGGACAGAUUUUCAGCCAGGUUCCAGAGAUGCGUUUCUUCUACAUGUAUAAGCAAAAUGUAUCCUUUAAUGAGAAUGAAAGCUAUUUUUCUUACUCUCUUCAUAAUCCCUCCAUUCUGAGCAGAGUGGUGCUAGAUGUGUCAGGCCAGGUUAAGCGUCUGAAUUGUCAUGAAGGCGCACAUGAAUGGGAUUUAUUUUGGCUUCAACCAAAAACACAGUGUGAGGUUUAUGCUUACUGUGGGCCUUUCGGAACCUGCACUGGGGAUUCUGUUGAAUUUUGUGAAUGCUUGCCAGGUUUUGAACCUCUCUUCCCUGAAGACUGGAAUCUGCAAGACAGAUCUGGAGGGUGUGUGAGGAAAGCAGAUUUGCAGUGUGUCAAUGAAAGCCAUGCUAAUGGGGAGCGAGACCAGUUUCUUUUGGUGUCUAACGUGAGACUGCCCAAGUAUCCAGUAACACUGCAAGCAAGGAGUGCUAUGGAGUGCGAAUCAAUUUGCCUGAAUCGCUGCUCUUGCUCUGCUUAUGCUUAUGAGGGAGAGUGUAGAAUAUGGGGUGGAGAUCUUGUAAACGUGGAGCAGCUACCAGAUGGUGAAAGUAAUGCUAGAAGUUUCUAUAUCAAACUUGCUGCCUCUGAGCUAAAUAAGAGAGGUAAGAAAAAAGAGUCAUAGUUGUUAUUGUAGGAGGACAUAAAGCAUAUGGGUCUUGUUUUAUUUUCAAAAUAAAAUGGCCAUCGAUUCAGCUAAAUUUAAUAUGAUAUAUUUCCUUCUACAGUUUCAAGCAGCAAGUGGAAGGUAUGGCUAAUUAUUACACUGGCCAUAUCUUUAACUUCAGCCUUUGUCAUUUAUGGGAUAUGGGGAAGGUUCCGAAGAAAAGGUCAGUAUUUCUCAAGGACAGACGGAUGGCCAAGCGAUUCAACCGUUUUUAGGUUCCAUCUACAAAUAAAAAACCAGUUCUUUUCUGAAAUGAGUUCAUUAGCACUGUUAUUGAAUGGUUAAGGUAACAUUAGGAUUUCAUGUUCUGAUUACAUGUGAGUGUGUAUGUGGAAUCCAAUGUGAGAAAUAAUUUAUUCCCAUGCCAGAAUUCCUACAUUCAUAUGAUAUUUAUUGUCUGUUUGUUCUUUACCAAGCAGGGGAAGAUUUGUUAGUAUUUGAUUUCGGUAACAGCUCAGAAGAUACCAGCUAUGAACUUGGCGAGACAAAUAGACUUUGGAGGGGCGAGAAGAAGGAAGUUGAUUUGCCCAUGUUCAGUUUUGCGAGUGUAUCUGCUUCUACAAAUAACUUCUCUAUUGAAAAUAAACUAGGAGAGGGCGGUUUUGGAUCUGUUUACAAGGUGAGAUUACAACCCUUGACAAUAAUGUUCUACAAUUUGUCCUGGAGUGUGAAGGCCCACUUGAUAUAUACCAAAUUUCUUUUACUUGGUGUAAUUGUAGUCACAUGAAAUUCCCAUGACAGGGAAAGUUACAAAGAGGAUAUGAGGUAGCUGUGAAAAGGCUCUCAAAAAGAUCUAAACAGGGAUGGGAGGAGUUAAAAAAUGAAGCCAUGCUUAUAGCCAAGCUGCAACACAAGAAUCUUGUGAAAGUUUUGGGAUACUGCAUCGAGCGGGAUGAGAAGAUAUUGAUUUAUGAGUAUAUGUCCAACAAAAGCUUGGAUUUCUUCCUCUUUGGUUUGUAACUUCCACAUAGAUAUGCUUCCAGCUACUGUAUAUUCAAUGAGAACUUUACACAUUCAUCAUUCUUCACCACUUAUUUGCUAACAUCUAUUUAUUUGGUGUGAAAUGGAAAUAGAUCCUGCAAAACGUGGGAUUCUGAAUUGGGAGAUGCGAGUUCGCAUCAUUGAAGGGGUUGCUCAGGGACUUCUUUAUCUCCAUCAGUACUCCAGAUUGAGAGUUAUUCAUCGAGAUUUGAAGGCUAGCAACAUUCUUCUGGAUAAAGACAUGAACCCAAAAAUAUCAGAUUUUGGAAUGGCAAGAAUUUUUGGAGGAAAUGAAUCAAAAGCAACAAAACAUAUAGUUGGGACUUAGUAAGUGAAUCCUAACGCAUUGUAAAAUAUGUGGAUUGUCUCACAACAUGCUUUUUUUCUACAUGUAUAUUUGUAAUCAUGCAAUUACUAAAUGAAUUGUUUUAAUAAUGAAUCCAGUGGCUACAUGUCCCCCGAGUAUGUUUUGCGAGGUCUCUUUUCAACUAAAUCUGAUGUUUUUAGCUUCGGGGUCUUGUUACUAGAGAUUCUAAGUGGCAAGAAGAUUACUGAAUUUUAUCAUAGUGGCUCGCUCAAUCUUCUUGGAUAUGUAAGUAACACAAUUUUCCUCUUAUGUAGCUAAAGUUAUCAUGUUUACUACUAUAUUUCAAGCUUGAAGUUACACACUUGAAUGCAAUUGACCGAAUUAGGACUAUAUAUCUUUUUUUCUUUUUUCGGGAAUGUGCAUCAAAGUAUAAUUUUCUUUCCUUUAGGCAUGGGAUCUGUGGAAAAACAACAAAGGACAGGAGUUGAUUGAUCCAGUAUUGAAUGAGAUAUCUUUGAGACAUAUUAUGUUAAGGUACAUCAAUGUAGCCCUUCUUUGUGUUCAAGAAAGUGCAGAUGAUAGGCCCACCAUGUUCGAUGUUGUCUCCAUGCUUGUCAAGGAAAAUGUACUUUUAUCUUCUCCAAAUGAGCCAGCCUUCUCAAAUCUAUCGAGUAUGAAACCACAUGCAUCUCAAGAUAGGCUUGAAAUUUGUUCCUUAAAUGAUGUAACACUUUCAAGCAUGGGAGCACGAUAAGUUUUCUAAAUUUCAGAUUGCAUAUGCUUAAAUGUCUUCAGCAUAUUGUCUAGUAUUAUUAUUGGCCAUCAAGUUGAUUGUUGAUGUACUGAACGUGUGAACUUUUGUAUGUAUUUUUCUUUCAAUGCAGUUCAAUAAUGUGCUUAAUUUUACUCAAUCCUCAAGGAUUCAGACCUGUAUCUCAUCUUCCCAUCUGUAAUUGCUACUGAAUCUGUUGGUUUUGAAACUAGAUAAUUAAAAGAAAAACGGAAGCCAGAAAAUUUUUCUCAAAAUUUAAUGAAAUAACAAAUAUAGGUAAUUUAGAAUUGUACCUUGCGAUUAGGCUGAUAAAUUUGAACUCCACCUAAAGGAUCUUAGAAUUCCAAAUCCUCUAAAGCACCAUGGAUCUUUCUCUAACGUUCUCCAAAAAAUGAUGAACUCAAAACGAGUGGGCGUUUAUUAUCUUUGGGUUUUUUUUUAUAUCACACAACUUAAUAUAUUGAAAACUUGUAUUCUCACCCAUCAUCCGAAAAACAUUGAGAAAAAAAAAACUUUUUAAUACCACGAAGAAAAAAAUGACAUAUUUUGAAUUUUGAAAAACAUGGGAGAGAAUAUCUCUCCCCAUGAUCCCCACUUAAAAAGUGUUUCUUUGAAUUUUGAAAAACAUGGGAGAGAAUAUCUCUCCCCAUGAUCCUCACUUAAAAAGUGUUUCUUAGGGAAUACAAGUAAGUGUGGUCUUCACUACAUUGUAUCAAAAAUUAUUUUAAAUAAUCAAAUUAUAAAAUAAAUAAAUCAAAUCAAGAUUGUGUGAAAUUAAUUUAGAAUUCAAAAUUCCAAACUAAUAAAAUCAACCCAACAUAAAAAAAAAUGUUCAUAUAAUUUUAAUGGAGCCGUUGAGAGGAACUAUGGACAUUAUAAUUUUAAGCUCCAAUAAUUUUGACAAUUAAUUAACAACUUAAUUAAAAAAUCAAAAUUAUUAAUUCCAAAAUUACUCCACUAAAAAUUUGGAAUUGCACUCUUAAAAUUAUAAAAUUAAAUAUAUUCAAAGGAUUUGAAUUGCCCAUUAAUAUAGUUACUACAUAUGAGUCAAUCCUCCAUAAACGGUUCAUAAUUAAAGCUAGGUUUUUCCGUUAACCUCUUUAAUUAUAUCUUUCUCCUUAAGUGCCAUUGGUUCUCUAAUGAAUAAUAUAUUUAUGGUCUAAUCAUAAAUUGAGCGCUCUUAUCAUUCAAGGCCCGAACCAAUACUUAUGGUAACCGUCCAUCUGACUUCUUAACGAAGGAAUGAAUUUCAUCUUGUAUAUUAAUAUUCCCGGCUAUUUAUUUUAUUAUACUUCCAAUACACCAAUAAUUUGACACUAUGUAUUUGUGUCAUUACCCGAUAUGUAAAAAAAUACAAUACAAUAAAUAGGAGUCUAUUAAUCACUCAGAAUUAAGAUCAAUGCAUAUAUGACCAUCAUUGAUUAAUAUUGAAUGCUCUAUAUUAUAACGGAAUUUAUUAGAGAUUCAUAAUUAAUCGUGUUCCAGUCCUAUAUAAUCAAAUUAUAUAAAACGCUUUCAUUCCAAUAAUCUCAUUAUUAACAAUCCGGAUAAGAUCAUUUCAUUCAUAAUGUAAUGAACCACGCUAGUAAUUUUAAAUUAAAGAUCCCAACUUUAAUUUUUAAUUACGAACAUAUUAGAUUAUUUUACUUUAAAUGUUAUCCUCCUGUAUAUAACACUUAUAUACAAUAUUUAAAGUUACAAUUAAAUAAUCUAGGGUUUUCGAUAUUUAUAAAGCAUCUAUAACAUGCAUGCAACAAUAAUAUUGAAAUAAUUCCUUAAAAAAAUAUUAAUAAUCAGCAAAAUAAAAAACAUCUCAUUUGUUUAUGGGCACAUAUUCCAACAAAAUCUGCUUUUAUGCAUUGCCAAUCCAGACACUAAAAUACAACCCUCAGAGCUUACUGCAAAUAUUCAACUAGUACUAGGAAAGACGAGCUUUUGCGCAUGAUAUAGCUAAGCAUAAGUACUAAUUAACAUAUAGGCAAGAGGGAAAGUGAGGAAGGAAAGCAGAUAUAGAUUUUUUUGCCUUUUAAACUGUGAUAGCAUCUAGCAUUUUUUUUAAGAGAAGAAAUAGUAUAAUUUAAUUGAGUACUCGUAAAACCUUCUUUUCUUAUUGGACAUGGUUUCAAUAAAACCCAUUUGGUUGCCAAGAAAUCUGAGGAAAUUCCCUUAAUUCUAAGGGUUCAAGAACAAGCCGAGUCCAGCACGACUCGGCCGAGUCGUAUAAACUCAUACUCAAUCAGGAAUCGCUUAAACUCGGUUAACUCAACGGAGAUUCCGAGUUGACUCGGUUGAACCGUUUGUGUUAACAAAAGAAAUCGUUUUUUCACUUUCGAAUCACAGCAGAGGAACAACAAACGAGAUGUAAACCUAAAAAACCUCUCAAAAAUCAAAGAUUGUCUUCAAAAGGAAAAGCUUCUCAACAACCAUGAUGAAGAGGAAGAAAGGCAUCAGUCUAAACCAUGACCGAGUCUUGGAGGUGCACAAGAAGAAGAGGUUGAGGUAUUACUAACUUCAGAACGAUCAUGGAUGUGGAGCGCCUUCGAUGGUCCCGGUGUGGUAACUGGUGUGAUGAGAAGAUUCCCUCCAUUGACGUGAGCGGCCAUCGCUGCAUCUGGUCUCUCCUCUCUCUAAUUUUGGUCUCAGUUCUCGCCUGCUUCUGUCUGCCUUCCUCCCUCUCUCUCUCUCUCUCUCUUUCUCCCUAGUACGGGUGAGUUAGUGAUUUGAAGAAAGGGUGGCAAUCGGUGCCAGAAAAUUGGGGAUUUGAAGACAGGGUGGUCAAUGUUUUAAUAUCACAAUUAUUUAUAAUUGUAUAUGUUAAUAUUAGGUAAUAUAUUAUCAAAUUUUAUAGUCUUUGUUUUUUUUAUGAUAAUAAUUUAUUAUUUUAUAUAUUAAUGGUGUGAUAUAAAUUAUAUUAGCUUAAGUAAAGUAUUAUUUUAUAUGGCAAUGAUAGCAUAUUUGAUGUAUUAAUUUAUUAUUAACAAUAUAUUCAAGUCAUUUAAUAUAUUAUUAUAUUAACAUAUUAAAAUCAUUUAAUUAAUAAUAUAUACUUUGUUUAAUAAAUAUAAUUUUAUAUUAUAUUUAAACAUAAAGUGUUGUAAUCAUUUAAUCAAAAUUAAAAAUAAAAUUAAUGAUUGAAUUAUAUGUCUUUUAGUAAAAAUAUCAUUAUAGUUGAAAUAAAAUAAUUUUCAAUUCCUAACAUUAUCAUAAAUUGUUUUUGUGGAGACUUUAUAACUAUUUAAAUAAUAUUAAAUGUGAAAAAAUUUAUUUUAUAAUUUUUAAGCUUAUUUAAUUAUAUUUGUUUUUGUAAAAAAUUUCAAAAUUUUUUUCUAAUUUAAAAAUUUUUUAGUUAUCUUAUUUUGCAUACCACUUGAUACCAAAUCGAGAUGUUGAGACCGUUAUGCCUUGGGACCCUCCAAAUUAAUGAUUGAUAUCGUCACUUCAAUUAUAUGAAUAUAAAAAAUAAAUAUGUAAAGAAAUACCAUAAGACAUAAUAAUAGUAUUUUAAAAUAUUUUUAGCAUAUUGAUAUAAAUAUAUAUAUAUAUAUAUAAUUAUUUAAUAGUUAUUACUUAUAUUUAAUGGUUUAAAAUAUUUUUUAGUUUUUAAUUAGUAUAUUUUUUGUAUCAAUCAAUAUCGCUUUGACAUCUUAGAUUUAAAUAAUGAAAAUAGUAUCAAUUUUUCAAAAAAAAAGAAAGAAAAAGGAAAUGAUCUUUUAAGGUUAAAGUAUUAAUCUUUAGGUUUAGAUGUUCCCAAACCUUCAAUUCUAAGUGUUGAAGACGACUUCGAAGUUGUUGGAAGUCUUGUAAAUCUACGAUUUUCUAUCUGAUGAUUUGAACCUUGAUCUUAAUGCACUUUUAGUGGAGAUCGAUGGAAGAAAGGGUGGAAACUAUGAGUCUUUCUCUUUGAAGGUGGAAGAUGACUUUCUACAAAAAGUUAUGGAAACUUUAACCCCAAGAUCGAUGUACCUUAAAACCUUUCAAGUCAAUGACCCAUACCGUAACUUUCAACCAUAAGAUGGACACUAAAAAAAAAAAGAAUUAGAGUUGGAUUUGAACACAAACAUCUUUCAAAGAAGAGAAUGUACCUAUCAUUAUGGAAAAUUAUUAUUAAAUUUGGGUGGCAAAAUAUAUCUCCUAUAUUUUAACCCCUACCAUAAGUGACUUUGUGUAAGCGUAAAAAGAAGAACUAUAGAAAAGAUGCCUUAGGUAUUUGCUGAUUAUGAACUAUAUCUAGUAAAAGAUCAUACACGAUGUCCGAAAAACUAUAGAAGAAGAUAAAUCUUGAAGGGAAGAUCAAUGGAAAUGGGUCUAUGACUCGCCACUCCAUGAUUUAUGGGCUGCUUAAACUCUGAUGAUGGGUUAUGGGUAGCAUGAAAAUUUCAGCCAGAGGGUGGUCUGUCAAUCUUGCUUGUUUCUUCAUGUUUUCACUUGGAAUUUGCUAAUGCAUUUAUAGACACAAUCUUACAAGGUCAGUCAAUCACAACUUCUCAAACCAUCGUAUCUGUUGGUGGUGACUUUGAAUUAGGAUUCUUUUCUCUUGGAAACUCCACAAAAUACUAUGUGGGGAUAUGGUACAAGAAAGUGUCAGAGCAAACCAUUGUGUGGGUAGCUAACCGAGGUUAUUCAUUCACAAAUCUAUAUGUGGUUCUUACUAUUAUCCCAGAUGGUAACCUCGAGAUUUGGGAAGGGAAAAUUUCAUACAAGGUGACAAACGUAUCAUUAAAUAGAAACACCGGUGCCACCCUGUUGGAUUCAGGAAAUUUUGUUUUGAGAAAUGAGAAGUCGAAUAUCUUAUGGUAGAGCUUUGACUAUCUAUUGGACAUGAUCUUGCCCAGAAUGAACAUUGGAUAUGACAGAAGGGCUGGAAAAACAUGGUCAUUGGUGUCAUGGAAGAGCACAGAAGAUCCUAGUCCAGGAGUUUUUAUUAGAGAAUUCAUUAUAAUAGAUUUUCUUAUUAGCUUUUUUCCUAUAAUGUGUGGCCAUAUACAAUUAUAUUUGUAUGAAUAUUAUUUAAGGGUAUCAAUUGAUCGGUAGGUGAAUCAAUUGAUUGGGUAUCUAAGAGUCUUAUGUAUGGAAGACUCAAAUUUAUAAAUAGGGAGUUAGAAAAUUUAACUCAUAUGAAUGUGGUGUUACAACUUUUGUAACCCCAUCAUUAUGAAAUUUAUUUGUACAUUAUGUUUAUGAGUAAUAGAGGAAAAUGGAAAAGUAUAACCUAUGCAAUUAUAUAGAUGCAUUCAAGUUCAUACCCCACCAUUACCCAUUAAUUUGUACAUAAUGGGUGUAAAUAAUGAGUAUAACUCCCAUAUAGUCUUUGAUGGGAAGACUAAGAGAUGUAUAAUUUUUUUUAUAAAUUGAGGUCCUAAGCCACACUCUCAUUCUUAUGUCUUUUUGUUGGUUUAUUUUUAACAACAUACACCACACAAGUGACCCAUCCACUAUAUGAGAGUAGUGAGUCGAAGACCUUGCCAAUCCAAUUCACAAGGUAACUCAAUCUCACUUCAAAAGUGUUAUUGAUAUCAUGAAUCAAGGUAAGAAUAUGAUCAUUAUUUGAAUACUUAUAUAUAUAUAUUUUUUUUAUGCAUCCAAAAUGGUUUUAUAAAAUAAUAAUUUCCACAUAAAGUUUAUAAAAGUUUGGUUGACAUUUCUUUCUAUUUUUAAAUUCUUCUAAUUAGUUGUAAUUUCCUAUUUUUUUUUGUAAUAUCCUAAUUUUAGGAUUGUUUCUUAUUUUUGUAUUUUGGGUAGAUUGUUUCCUAUUUUUGUGUUUUAGGUUUUGUGUAUAUAUAUUCAUUCUUAAUCAAUGGAAAAGUCAAGCCAUUGUUUCUCAAUAAUCUUCUACUUCAACAUGGUAUCAAGAGCCUAAUUUUCUUUGGUGUAUUUUCUUCCUUUUUUUUUUCCCUUUUCCUUAAUGGCUUCCAGUGCAUCCUUCUCUUCCACCAACAAUCCUAUCACCAUCCAAAACUCUCAAGAUCCUCAAAAUCCUCUCCUUACAAUCAAUCUCUCCAAUAUCACCAAAUUGUCAUCCAUCAAUUAUCUCACAGGGAGCCUUCAAAUCCAAUCCUUCUUGAAGGUUAUAAUCUUCAUCACUUCAUUGAUGGCGCUCAUACUCCACCACCACCCACCGUCACCGUCACCAUCACUUGUGUUGCAUCCCCAAAUCUAGUAUACACAACCUGGAAGCGUCAGGAUCGUCUCAUCUUUAACGCUCUCCUUGGUGCUAUCUUCGUUUCACUACAACCGCUUAUUGUCUGCACCACCACUUCCCUUGAUGCAUGGCAAACCUUAGUUAAUACCUAUGCCAAACCCUUGAUAAUUUUCUCUCCACCAAUGGUAUAUCCCAUCUUACUACACCACAUACACCUGGACACAAUGGCCUUUCCGAAUGACGUCAUUGUCAUAUUGUUGAAACCGGUCUAUUUCUUCUCACUUAUGCAUCGAUAUCUCUAACUUAUUGGACUUACGCCUUUGCCACUAUUGUAUAUCUCAUCAACUGUAUGCCCACACCCACACUAUAUCUCUCAUCUCCUUUUGACCAACUCUUUGAGUCUCCACCCAACUACACUAAACUUUGGGUGUUUGGUUGCUUAUGUUAUUCGUGGCUUUGUCCUUAUUCUCAACAUAAACUUAACUCUCGUUUCACUUCUUGUGUUUUUCUUGGUUACUCUUCCUACACCACCUAUUAUAUAUUGUGACAAUGUUGGUGCCACCUAUCUCUAUUCUAAUCUAGUCUUUCAUUCGCGCAUGAAACAUGUGGCAAUUGACUAUCACUUUAUUCGGGAUCAAGUUCAAUUAUGUGUUCUUCGUGUUACUCAUGUUUCCUCAACAGAUCAACUUGUCGACGCUCUUACUCAACCGCUUCCACAAAGCUUCUUCCAAGAAUUACGGGUCAAGAUUGGCGUCUCCUCCAGAGCUCUAUCUUGAGGGGGCAUAUUAGAGAAUUUAUUACAAUAGAUUUUCUUUCUAUUUUUAAAUUCUUCUAAUUAGUUGUAAUUUCCUAUUUUUGUUGUAAUCCCCUAAUUUUAGGAUUGUUUCCUAUCUUUGUGUUUUGGGCUAAUUCUAGGAUUGUUUCUUAUUUUUGUGUUUUGAGUAGAUUGUUUCUUAUUUUUGUUGGAAUAUGUGCCCAUAAACAAAUGAGAUGUUUUUUAUUUUGCUGAUUAUUAAUAUUUUUUAAGGAAUUAUUUCAAUAUUAUUGUUGCAUGCAUGUUAUAGAUGCUUUAUAAAUAUCGAAAACCCUAGAUUAUUUAAUUGAAACUUUAAAUAUUGUAUAUAAGUGUUAUAUACAAGAGGAUAAUAUUUAAAGUAAAAUAAUCUAAUAUGUUCGUAAUUAAAAAUUAAAGUUGGGAUCUUUAAUUUAAAAUUACUAGCGCGGUUCAUUACAUUCUGAAUGAAAUGAUCUUAUCCGGAUUGUUAAUAAUGAGAUUAUUGGAAUGAAAGCGCUUUAUAUAAUUUGAUUAUAUAGGACUGGAACACGAUUAAUUAUGAAUCUCUGAUAAAUUCCGUUAUAAUAUAGAGCAUUCAAUAUUAAUCAAUGAUGGUCAUAUAUGCAUUGAUCUUAAUUCUGAGUGAUUAAUAGACUCCUAUUUAUUCUAUUGUAUUUUUUGACAUACCGGGUAAUGACACAAAUACAUAGUGUCAAAUUCUUGGUGUAUUGGAAGUAUAAUAAAAUAAAUAGCCGGGAAUAUUAAUAUACAAGAUGAAAUCCAUUCCUUCGUUAAGAAGUCAGAUGGACAGUUCCCAUAAGUAUUGGUUCGGGCCUUGAAUGAUAAGAACGCUCAAUUUAUGAUUAGACCAUAAAUAUAUUAUUCAUUAGAGAACCAAUGGCACUUAAGGAGAAAGAUAUAAUUAAAGAGGUUAACGGAAAAACCUAGCUUUAAUUAUGAACCGUUUAUGGAGGAUUGACUCAUAUGUAGUGACUAUAUCAAUGGGCAAUUCAAAUCCUUUGAAUAUAUUUAAUUUUAUAAUUUUAAGAGUGCAAUUCCAAAUUUUUAGUGGAGUAAUUUUGGAAUUAAUAAUUUUGAUUUUUUAAUUAAGUUGUUAAUUAAUUGUCAAAAUUAUUGGAGCUUAAAAUUAUAAUGUCCAUAGUUCCUCUCAACGGCUCCAUUAAAAUUAUAUGAACAUUUUUUUAUGUUGGGUUGAUUUUAUUAGUUUGGAAUUUUAAAUUCUAAAUUAAUUUCACACAAUCUUGAUUUGAUUUAUUUAUUUUAUAAUUUGAUUAUUUAAAAUAUUUUUUGAUACAAUGUGGUGAAGACCACACUUACUUGUAUUCCCUAAGAAACACCUUUUGAGUGGGGAUCAUGGGGAGAGAUAUUCUCUCCCAUGUUUUUCAAAAUUCAAAGAAACACUUUUUAAGUGGGGAUCAUGGGGAGAGAUAUUCUCUCCCAUGUUUUUCAAAAUUCAAAACAUGUCAGUUAUUUUUUUUUUCUUCGUGGUAUUAAAAUUUUUUUUUUCUCAAUGUUUCUCGGAUGAUGGGAUGAGAAUACAAGUUUUCAAUAUAUAUUAAGUUGUGUGAGAAAAAAAAACAGAAGAAUGAAAAACGCCCACUCGUUUUGAGUUCAUCAUAAUUUGGAGAACGUUAGAGAAAGAUCCAUGGUGCUUUAGAGGAUUUGGAAUUCUAAGAUCCUUUUGGUGAAGUUCAAAUUUAUUAGCCUAAUCGCAAGGUACAAUUCUAAUUUACCUAUAUUUGUUAUUUCAUUAAAUUAAUACAAGUAUUGAUCAUUGAGAAAAAAUUUUGAGAAAAUUUUUUUGGUUUCCGUUUUUUUCUUUUAUUUAUCUGGUUUCAAAACCAACAAUUGGUAUCAGAGCAGGUUGAUACUCUGUAUUAAUUUAAUGAAUGAUUAUUUGAUAAUCUUUGCAUGGCUUUCGGUAGGCACUUUUGCAUAUUGAUGUUUGUUUAUUUUUAUGUUCAUGGUGAUGAAUGUUUGUGGGAAUGGAUUGGCCGUUUUUUUAUUGGUUCCAUGGAUUUUGUUAUUUUUGUAAUAAUUAUUUUAUUAGAUCUUUUGUAAAUAGGAUUCUUGCUGUAAUUCCUAUUUUAUAAGAUUUUUUGUAAAUAGGUUUACUGUUGUAAUUAUAAAUCGGUUUUGGGUUGAAUUUUAUUGAAUUUGAGAAAUUCAAUGGAGACAACCACAAUUCAAGGAAAUUUGAAUAUUAUUGAAUUUGAGAAAUUCAAUGGAGACAACCACAAUUCAAGGAAAUUUGAAUUUUAUUGAAUUUGAGAAAUUCAAUGGAGACCACCACUUUUCAAGGAGAAGAUGAAGAUGUAAAUUUACAGGAAGACCCAGUUUUAUUAUUUGUAUUUUUUUUAUUUGGGUUGUAUUUAACGUCCAUGGAACCCGACCAUUUCCAUUUUUAUAUUUAUAAAGUUGAUGAUUACUUUGUCCUGCAAGGGGUGGAGCCAGGGGAUUCAAACCCAUGAAGGAUGGGUAUUCCUUGCUAGUACCACCAGGCUAUGGCUUCUGGCUGGUUAUUUAUAUGAAGAAGGUUUAUUUCACGUUGCCCCUAAACUUUAUCCCUGGCUCCACCACAACCCUUGUUUUAGCAUGUCAUUUUAGUUAGAAAAGUGCCUACCUAUUUUUGCAUGUCAUGCAUUCAUGCGUUUAUUUUUAUUUUAUUUUAUAUAAUGUCACAGAUGACUUAAUUUAUAAUUUUAAAUUGUUUAAAAUAUAAAGGCUUAGUAAUUUAAAAUGUUUAAAUUGUCUAAGGUUUAUGAAACAAUAGUUGUUUUAUAAAUUAAAUACACCUUUUGCAAUAUAAUGAGUGGGAGCGGGUAAUAUUACAAUAUAAACCCUAGGUCUCCACCAUUAAUACAACACUGUGAGUUUUUAGUAGCGCUUAGAGACGCUUUGAUUUCGUCCUCCCUACGGAAAGUGUCUACUAAUUUCAAUAACAAGGUUGUCUUCCAUGAGAUAGGAUUUUAAGAUGUAUUUUAGAAUUGACCUACCCUACGACGGCAAUUUCUAAAUUAAAUCUUAAAAAUCUGAUAUGGUGGGUUACACUCAUAAAGAUAUAAUUAAAUUGGUUAAUUAUUUUCUUGACCGAACUUAAAGGAAAUUAAUAAGUAUUAGAAAUAUGAGAUAUUUUGGAUAAUAUUUAUUAAUUGAGAAAGUCUCAUUUUAAUUAGCAGCUUUUUGACCUACCCUACGGCGGCACUUAGUUGUGGUAAUUAAAAUUCCUUAGGCUGUUAAAGUAUAAUUUUUGGUGUAUUUUAUCAUGAGCAUUCUUGCUUCAUAUUUACUUUGCCUUUAAUUUUCUUAUGAUAUUUAUGCAAUUAUUUAUUGAAAAUAUUUCUUAUUUUUGUUCAGCAAAUAUGUCAAACCCAAUUUUCUCACUUCUCGCCUCUCAAGUUUUAACUGGUGAAAACUUUGUAAAAUGGAAGAGCAACAUGAACACUCUUCUCAUUAAUGAGAACUACCACUUUGUCCUUAAGGAGGAUUGUCCUCCAGUGCCUCCAGCUAAUGCCUCCAAGGCUGUCUCAGAAGAGUAUAAUCGUUGGAUUAUUGCAAAUAACAAGACCCGCUGCUACUUGUUAGCAGCAAUGAAUGAAGUGCUUAGAACUAAGCACGAGGGCCUUGAAACUGCAAGAGAGAUUAUGGAAUCUCUACAGCAGAUGUUUGGACGCCCCUCUGAGCAGGCCCGCCACGAAGCUGUGAAAGCUGUUAUGAACAGUAAAAUGAAGAAUGGUUCUUCAGUUCGUGAGCAUGUCCUUAAAAUGAUUCAUCACUUUAAUGAGGCUGAAAUCAAUGGAGCUAAAAUUGAUGAAAAGACCCAGGUUGGCAUGAUCUUAGAGACACUUUCACCCUCUUUCCUCCAAUUCAGGACAAACUACAUCAUGAACCAUAAGAAAUGUAAUUUGACAGAACUCCUGAAUGAGCUGCAAUCUUAUGAGACCCUUAUAGAUGAUAAGGGAGGCAAGGCAAAUAUUGUUGAGGCUAAUGCAGUUGUGGGAAAGGCUUCUUCUUCAAAGAAUAAGAAGAAGAGAAAUGUGAGAAAUCAAAAGGACAAGAAGAAGAUCCAAAAGAAGAAAGGGAAGGCUGUUGAGCCUAAACCUAAGGGGAAAUGUUUCCAUUGCAAUCAAGACAGCCAUUGGAAAAGGAACUGUAAGAAGUACCUUGAUGAGCUGAAACAAAAGAAGAAACAAGGUAAAUUAGAUUUAUUAGUAAUGGAAACAUGCUUAGUUGAGAAUGAUUUCUCAAGCUGGAUUAUUGAUUCAGGAGCAUCUAACCAUGUUUGUAUUUCUUUGAAGAUGCUUGAGUCAUCUAAGGAUCUUGAAGAGGGAGCUUUCAUGAUGAGAGUUGGCAGUGGGGCAAGAGUUUCAGCGACAGCAGUUGGGACAGUACGACUGUCAUUUGCUAAUAAUAAAUAUUUGUUAUUGCACAAUGUUUAUUUUAUUCCGGAUUUCAAAUGGAAUUUGAUUUCGGUUUCAAAGUUACAUGAACAAUUUAUUUCCGUUUCUUUUGAUAUUGACUCUGUUUCAAUCUAUAAGAAUGGAAUGAAUAUUUGUUCAGGUUAUGUUGAUAAUGGUAUAUAUUNNNNNNNNNNNNNNNNNNNNNNNNNNNNNNNNNNNNNNNNNNNNNNNNNNNNNNNNNNNNNNNNNNNNNNNNNNNNNNNNNNNNNNNNNNNNNNNNNNNNNNNNNNNNNNNNNNNNNNNNNNNNNNNNNNAAAUGGAAUAUUAUCACAGCUCACGGCACCUGGGACACCUCAGCAAAAUGGUGUAGCCGAAAGAAGAAAUCGCACUUUGCUUGACAUGAUGAGAUCAAUGAUGAGCUAUUCUUCUCUGCCAACCUCAUUUUGGGGAUAUGCAUUACAAACGGCAGUAUAUAUUCUGAACAUAGUUCCAUCUAAGUCAAUCCCUAACACUCCCCUAGAGUUAUGGAAUGGUCGCAAACCUAGUUUGAGACAUAUUCGCAUAUGGGGGUGCCCUGCGCACGUGUUAAAGGGAAAGACUGGGAAACUAGAACCUCGCUCUGAGGUAUGCAUGUUUGUAGGAUAUCCUAAAGGAACAAGAGGAGGUAUGUUUUAUAGCGCUCAGGAUAACAAAGUAUUUGUGUCAACAAAUGCUACGUUUCUCGAGUAUAACUAUAUGGCAGAUUUUAAACCUAGAAGUAAAGUAGUUCUAGAAGAGUUGCUAGCUGAUGAGAUCAGCCCCAUGCCAACAACAGUUGUUGAACGACAAAGAAAAGAAACCACUGCUCAAGAUCUAACACCACCGCCACCACGACGUAGUGGGAGGGAAAUAAGAUUGCCCAUUCGCUAUCGUGAAAAUGGAGAAGCACAAGUUGCAGUCACUGAUGGCAGUGAUGAUGAUCCAUUGACAUUCAAAAUGGCGAUGGAUGAUGUUGAUCGAGAGAAAUGGUAGGAAGCCAUGAAACUCGAAAUAGAGUCUAUGUACUCAAAUUCAGUCUGGGAACUUGUAGAUCUACCAGAAGGCAUUAAGCCUAUUGGUUGCAAAUGGAUCUAUAAGAGAAAAAGAAGACCUAAUGGGAAAGUAGAGACUUUCAAGGCAAGGCUGGUGGCAAAGGGUUUUACCCAAAAGGAAUGAGUAGACUAUGAUGAUACUUUUUCACCAGUUGCCAUGCUAAAAUCCAUUAGGAUUCUCUUGUCCAUUGCUGCUUAUUAUGAUUAUGAGAUAUGGCAAAUGGACGUCAAGACAGCAUUUUUGAAUGGCCAUCUUGAAGAGACUAUUUAUAUGGUCCAACCAGAGGGUUUCGUGGUCAAAGACCAAGAGUAGAAAGUGUGCAAACUACAAAGGUCCAUUUAUGGACUUAAGCAAGCUUCUAGAUCUUGGAAUAUCAGAUUUAACGAAGCCAUAAAGUCUUAUGGUUUUGAACAAAAUCUGGGUGAACCUUGUGUCUAUAAGCAAAUAGGAGGAGAUAAAGUGGUUUUCUUAGUUCUUUAUGUGGAUGACAUUCUACUCAUUGGAAAUGAUGUAGAAUCUCUAUCCAAGGUAAAGAACUAGCUAGCCAGCCAAUUCCAAAUGAAGGAUUUGGGAGAGGCAAGCUACAUUCUUGGUAUCCAAAUGACUAGGGAUCGUAAGAAUAGGCUUCUGGCAUUGUCUCAGGCAGCAUACAUUGACAAGGUGCUUGUCAAGUUUGCAAUGGAGAACUCUAAGAAAGGGAAUUUGCCUUCUCGACAUGAAGUCCAUCUCUCUAAAGAGCAGUGUCCAAAAACACCACAAGAUGAGGAGAAAAUGAGACGAGUUCCCUACGCAUUAGCAGUUGGUAGUUUGAUGUAUGCAAUGUUGUGUACAAGACCUGACAUAUGCUUUGCAGUGGGAGUGGUUAGUCGAUACCAGUCAAACCCAGGAUUAGAUCACUGGGUAGCAGUCAAGCAUAUACUUAAAUAUCUGAGAAGGACAAGAAACUAUAUGUUGGUAUACUCUGGUAGGGAAUUGAUUCCUAUCGGAUAUACAGAUUCUGAUUUCCAAUCAGAUAGAGACUCUCGGAAGUCUACUUCUGGGGCCGUUUUCACUUUGGGAGGUGGAGCCAUUAUAUGGAGGAGUGUCAAGCAAACUUGUGUUGCUGAUUCAACCAUGGAGGCUGAAUAUGUAGCGGCUUGUGAAGCAGCUAAAGAAGCAGUCUGGCUUCGCGAAUUCUUGAAAGAACUGGAAGUUGUUCCAAAUAUGCAUGAGCCAAUUAGACUCUAUUGUGAUAAUAGUGGAGCAGUGGCUAAUGCCAAAGAACCCAGGAACCAUCGCAAAGGAAAACACAUAGAACGGAAAUUCCACCUGGUAAGAGAGACUGUCAGUAGAGGAGAUGUUUCAGUUGAAAAGAUCGCAUCUGCGAACAACAUAGCUGAUCCAUUCACUAAGACUUUACCAGCUCAGACUUUUGAGCAACAUCUUGAAGGGAUGGGACUUAGAGACAUGUCACAUUUGCUUUAGGGCAAGUGGGAGAUUGUUGGAAUAUGUGCCCAUAAACAAAUGAGAUGUUUUUUAUUUUGCUGAUUAUUAAUAUUUUUUAAGGAAUUAUUUCAAUAUUAUUGUUGCAUGCAUGUUAUAGAUGCUUUAUAAAUAUCGAAAACCCUAGAUUAUUUAAUUGAAACUUUAAAUAUUGUAUAUAAGUGUUAUAUACAAGAGGAUAAUAUUUAAAAUAAAAUAAUCUAAUAUGUUCGUAAUUAAAAAUUAAAGUUGGAAUCUUUAAUUUAAAAUUACUAGCGCGGUUCAUUACAUUCUGAAUGAAAUGAUCUUAUCCGGAUUGUUAAUAAUGAGAUUAUUGGAAUGAAAGCGCUUUAUAUAAUUUGAUUAUAUAGGACUGGAACACGAUUAAUUAUGAAUCUCUGAUAAAUUCCGUUAUAAUAUAGAGCAUUCAAUAUUAAUCAAUGAUGGUCAUAUAUGCAUUGAUCUUAAUUCUGAGUGAUUAAUAGACUCCUAUUUAUUCUAUUGUAUUUUUUGACAUACCGGGUAAUGACACAAAUACAUAGUGUCAAAUUCUUGGUGUAUUGGAAGUAUAAUAAAAUAAAUAGCCGGGAAUAUUAAUAUACAAGAUGAAAUCCAUUCCUUCGUUAAGAAGUCAGAUGGACGGUUCCCAUAAGUAUUGGUUCGGGCCUUGAAUGAUAAGAGCGCUCAAUUUAUGAUUAGACCAUAAAUAUAUUAUUCAUUAGAGAACCAAUGGUACUUAAGGAGAAAGAUAUAAUUAAAGAGGUUAACGGAAAAACCUAGCUUUAAUUAUGAACCGUUUAUGGAGGACUGACUCAUAUGUAGUAACUAUAUCAAUGGGCAAUUCAAAUCCUUUGAAUAUAUUUAAUUUUAUAAUUUUAAGAGUGCAAUUCCAAAUUUUUAGUGGAGUAAUUUUGGAAUUAAUAAUUUUGAUUUUUUAAUUAAGUUGUUAAUUAAUUGUCAAAAUUAUUGGAAGCUUAAAAUUUAAAUGUCCAUAGUUCCUCUCAACGGCUCCAUUAAAAUUAUAUGAANNNNNNNNNNNNNNNNNNNNNNNNNNNNNNNNNNNNNNNNNNNNNNNNNNNNNNNNNNNNNNNNNNNNNNNNNNNNNNNNNNNNNNNNNNNNNNNNNNNNUAAAUAUAUUAUUCAUUAGAGAACCAAUGGCACUUAAGGAGAAAGAUAUAAUUAAAGAGGUUAACGGAAAAACCUAGCUUUAAUUAUGAACCGUUUAUGGAGGAUUGACUCAUAUGUAGUGACUAUAUCAAUGGGCAAUUCAAAUCCUUUGAAUAUAUUUAAUUUUAUAAUUUUAAGAGUGCAAUUCCAAAUUUUUAGUGGAGUAAUUUUGGAAUUAAUAAUUUUGAUUUUUUAAUUAAGUUGUUAAUUAAUUGUCAAAAUUAUUGGAGCUUAAAAUUAUAAUGUCCAUAGUUCCUCUCAACGGCUCCAUUAAAAUUAUAUGAACAUUUUUUUAUGUUGGGUUGAUUUUAUUAGUUUGGAAUUUUAAAUUCUAAAUUAAUUUCACACAAUCUUGAUUUGAUUUAUUUAUUUUAUAAUUUGAUUAUUUAAAAUAUUUUUUGAUACAAUGUGGUGAAGACCACACUUACUUGUAUUCCCUAAGAAACACCUUUUGAGUGGGGAUCAUGGGGAGAGAUAUUCUCUCCCAUGUUUUUCAAAAUUCAAAGAAACACUUUUUAAGUGGGGAUCAUGGGGAGAGAUAUUCUCUCCCAUGUUUUUCAAAAUUCAAAACAUGUCAGUUAUUUUUUUUUUUUUCGUGGUAUUAAAAAAUUUUUUUUUUCUCAAUGUUUCUCGGAUGAUGGGAUGAGAAUACAAGUUUUCAAUAUAUAUUAAGUUGUGUGAGAAAAAAAAACCGAAGAAUGAAAAACGCCCACUCGUUUUGAGUUCAUCAUAAUUUGGAGAACGUUAGAGAAAGAUCCAUGGUGCUUUAGAGGAUUUGGAAUUCUAAGAUCCUUUUGGUGAAGUUCAAAUUUAUCAGCCUAAUCGCAAGGUACAAUUCUAAUUUACCUAUAUUUGUUAUUUCAUUAAAUUAAUACAAGUAUUGAUCAUUGAGAAAAAAUUUUGAGAAAAUUUUUUUGGUUUCCGUUUUUUUCUUUUAUUUAUCUGGUUUCAAAACCAACAAUUUUUGUGUUUUAGGUUUUGUGUAUAUAUAUUCAUUCUUAAUCAAUAGAAAAUUCAAGCCAUUGUUUCUCAAUGAUCCUUUCUCUGCUUCAACAGUUUUCUCCCUGGAGCAUGACCUUAAUGGAACUAGCUAGAUUUUAUCUUGCAAGGGAACAACAGGUACUGGACUAGUGGCGUCCGGGAUGGGCAGGUUUUCAGCCUGCUUCCUGAAAUGCUUUUAGACAAUAUAUUGAAAUACAAUUAUUCCUUUAGUAAGGAUGAGAGCUAUUUCAAUUACUCUCUCUAUAAUUCUUCCAUUAUAAGCAGAGUGGUCCUGGAUGUGUCAGGGCAGAUUAAGCAAAUGACAUGGAUUGAAGACACUCAUCAAUGGAAAUUGUUUUGGUCUCAACCCAGAAGACAAUGUCAGGUUUAUGCUUACUGUGGGCCUUCUAGAAUCUGCAAUCUGGAUUCCUAUGAGUAUUGUGAAUAUUUGCCUGGCUUUGAACCUCGCUCCCCCGGAAACUGGGAAUUGCAAGACAGAUCUGGAGGGUAUGUGAGGAAAGCAGAUUUGCAGUGUGUCAAUGGAAGUCAUGGUGAUGGGGAGAGAGACCAGUUACUUUUGGUGUCUAAUGUAAGACUGCCCGAGUAUCCACUAACAUUGCAAGCAAGAGUGCCAUGGAUUGCGAGUCAGCCAGCCUGAAUAACUACUCUUGCUCUACUUAUGCUUAUGACAACGAGGAGUGUACAGUAUGGAGUGGAGAUCUUCUAAACCUGCAAUAGCUAUCAGAAUCUGACAGUAAUGCUGGAGAUUUCCAUCUCAAACUUGCUGACUCUGAGCAAAAUAGGAGAGGUAAGAAAAAGGGAAUGCUCAUACUAGUUGUUGUAGGACAUAAAGCAUAUAAAAUGGCUAUUGAUUUAGUUAAGUUAAAUGUCAUAUAUUUCCUUCUACAGUUUCAAGCAGCAAGUAGAAGCUAUGGCUCAUUGUUACACUAACCAUUUCUGUAACUUUAGCCUUUGUCACAUUUGGAAUAUGGAGAAGGCUCCAAAGAAAAGGUCAGUAUUUCUCAUGGAUAGAAGAUGACCAAGCAAUUCAAGGCUAUUUAGAUUCCAUCAACACAUACAAAACCAUUUCUUAUCUGAUAUGAAUUCAUUACCAUUGUUGUAGAAUAAUUAAGUUCAUAUUAGAGUUUCAAUCUCCUGAUUACAGUAUUGAAUUAGCUUAUUCCCAUGCCAGAAUUCCUACAUUCUUAUAGAAUUUAAUCUGUUGGUUCUUUACCAAGCAUGGGAAGAUUUGUUACUAUUUGAUUUCAGUGACAGCUCAGAAGAUACCAACCAUGAACUUAGUGAGGCAAAUAAAGGUUGGAGAGGAGAGAAGAAGGAAGUUGAUUUGCCAAUGUUUAGUUGUGCGAGUGUAUCUAUUGCUACCAAUAACUUCUCUAUUGAAAAUAAACUAGGAGAGGGAGGUUUUGGACCAGUUUAUAAGGUGAGCUUAGUAUGACUAACAGUAAUGCCUCUUAGAAAAGAAAUGUGAAAAUUUUUGCUACUGUUCUACAAUCCCUCAACCGUAAAUGCCCAUUAGGCAUACACAAAUUUUCUUUUACUUGGUGUGGUUGUUGUACUUAGUUGAAAUCCCCAUGACAUGGAAAGUCACAAAGAGGAUAUGAGGUAGCUGUGAAAAGACUUUCAAAAAGAUUUGGACAGGGUUGGGAGGAGUUAAAAAAUGAAUCCAUGCUUAUAGACAAGCUUCAACAUAAGAAUCAUGUUAGACUUUUGGGCUGCUGCAUUGAGCUAGAUGAGAAGAUACUGAUUUAUGAGUAUAUGCCCAAUAAAAGCUUAGAUUUCAUCCUUUUUGGUUUGUACUUCUCAACAUAUCUAAACUUUUGUUUAUCCUAAGCUCAAUAAAAAGCUUUUUUCAUUCAUUGUUGUUGGCCUUUUAUUUACUGACACCAGUUUGUAUUUAUUUGGUGUAAAAUUGGGAUAGAUCCUGCAUGACAUGGGAUUCUGGACUAGGAGACACGUCAUUCACAUAAUUGAAGGGGUUGCUAAGGGAUUUCUUGAUCUCCAUCAAUACUCCAGAUUGAGGAUUAUUCAUCAAGAUUUGAAGGUUAGCAACAUGUUUUUGGAUAUGGACAUGAACCCCAAAAUAUCAGAUUUUGGAAUGGCAAGAAUUUUUGGAGGGACUUGGUAAGUGAAUCCUUGCAAACUGUAAGAUACAUGGAUUCUCUCUCUCUCUCUCUCUCUCUCUCUCACACACACACACACACACACACACACACAUAUAUAUAUAUAUACAUUUUUGUCACAAGGCAGCUACUAAAUGAUUUGUUAUAAUAAUGAAAUUUAGUGGCUACAUGUCCCUUGAAUAUGCUUUGGAAGGCCUCUUUUCAACUAAAUCAGAUGUCUUUAGCUCCAGGGUUUUGUUACGGGAGAUUCUAAGAGGCAAAAAAAAAUACCAGAUUUUACCAGAGUGAUUCACUCAAUCUUCUUGGAUAUGUGAGUAACACAAUCUACAAUGUUCUAAUAUACUAAUUCUUGAUUUACUAGUCAGUAAUUUUUCACAUCUUGUUUACUAGUCAAUUUUAAGCUAAAGUUCUUUGCAUGCAAUAAAAAGGACCAUGCAUCUGUUUUUCUUUUUUGGAAAUUUGCAUCAAAAGAACAUUUUCUUUCCUUCAGGCAUGGGAUCUAUGGAAAAACAACAUAGGGCAGGACCUGAUGGAUCCAGUAUUGAAUUGGGAGGCACGGGUUCACAUCAUUCAAGGGAUGGCUCAGGGACUUCUUUAUCUCCAUUAAUACUCUAGAUUGAGAAUUAUUCAUCAAGAUUCGAAGACUAGCAACAUUCUUUUGGAUAAGAACAUGAACAAAACAUAUAGUUGGGACUUAGUAAGUGAAUCAUUAUUAUACUCAUUUUUAUGUGGAAUUUAAAGUUUUAAAAUUUUGUACAAAACAAUUUGCACUUAUAGCUUUUUAAAUAAGAAAACUAUUUUAUAUUUUUAAAAUAAAAUAAUGCAAUUGUGGCAUGUGAAGAAAUUUUUAUUUUUAUGGAUAAAUAUAUUUUACAAAUUUUAUAUCAAUUUCUUUUUUAUUUAUAUCUAUUUAUAUUUUUUUUCAAUGUUUUCAUAAUCGAAUUGGUCAUUGAAUUGAAAAAGUUACUGGUUCACGGUUCAUUGGUUGGAUUGGUGUCGAUCCGUGAUUGAAUCAGUGAUGUUAUAAAUAAGUAAUUUAUAUAUUAUUAAAAUUCAAAAUGUUAUAUAAAAUUUUUUAGAUAUAUAAAAAAAUAAAAAUCAAUAAUAUUUAUUUUUUCAUCUUUAAUAUUAUCAAAUUAACAUAUAUCAAUAAUAUAAUAUUAUCAAUAAAAAAAAUAUUAUCAAGUCCGAAUCGGUGCCUGGUCCACCAGGCUAGUGGUUUUGACCGCCUGUCCGUUGGGCUCAUGAGCGGUCGGCAUUCCGGCCUAAUUAGGCUACCUGGACUGGAUUAAGCUCCAGUUGAUGGUUGAACUGGCCAAUCCAAAACAUUGAUUUUUUUUUUUUAUCUCAAUAUUUGUAUCUUAUUUACUUCAUAUAAACUUGAAAUUAUUAAUUUAAAUAACAAUUAUCCAUUAUCCAUUUAAAACCAGUCAUCCUCACAUUUAUCUCUACACCCAAAUGCCCAUUUCCUAUUGAAAAGUGAAUAUCACAUUGGAUGCAUUGAAUUGUUGUUUCCCUACCACCACCCCUUUUAACUUCUCUUCACUUUGGCAUCACAAACUUAAGCAAUUUUUUUGGGAUGUUGAGAUGAGAUCAUGAGACAAGCGUUCAGAGGACGUGUUGAGAGUUUCUGAUAUCUUCCACGACAGCUAAGACCAUGAAUCUGAAGAGAAAGAACUGAAGAAGAGGGAGGAAAGUGAGAGUUGGUUACUCCCUUAAUUUUCAAAUUUAAAAUGGAUGAUGAAGUCUGAAGAUGUCAUAUUACACAUCCAAUGGGCCCAAUAAAUUCUUGGGUACCUACACAGACUGUUUCGUAGAAUUUUCCUAAAAGAUAUUUUGAAAGGGAGAUCGAUGGAAAGGAGACUUUUACUUACCAGUCGCCGGGCCGCCUCAGAUCCGCUACUGCCUGUUUUGGAUGGCUAUAAGAUUAUUGAUGGGCUGCGUAAACGCUUCUUAUGAGUUAUGGGUAGCAUGGAAUUUUCAACCAGAAGGUGUUCUGCUUAUCUUGUUUUCUUGCUUAUUUCUUCAGGUUUUCACUGGCAAUUUGCUGAUGCAUUUACAGAUACAAUCUUACAAGGUCAGUCAAUUACAACCUCUCAGACCAUCAUAUCUGCUGCUGGUAACUUUGAAUUAGGAUUCUUCAAGCCUGGAAACUCCACAAAUUAUUAUGUGGGGAUAUGGUACAAGAAAAUCUCAGACCAAGUCUCAGACAAAACCAUUGCCUGGGUGGCUAACCGAGAGUAUGCGUUCAAAAAUCCGUCUGUGGUCCUUACUGUCAGCACAGAUGGUAACCUCGAGAUUUUGGAAGGGAAGUUUGCCUACAAGGUGCAAGCAUAUCAUCAAAUAGAAACACAAGUGCCACCCUGUUGGAUUCUGGAAAUGUAGUUUUGAGAAAUGACAACUCAACUAUCUUAUGGCAGAGCUUUGACUAUCCAUCGCACGCUUUCUUGCCGGGGAUGAAAAUUGGAUAUGACAAAAGGGCUGGAAAAACAUGGUCAUUGACGUCAUGGAAGAGCACUGAAGAUCCCAGUCCAAGAGUUUUCUCCGUGGAGCAGGGCCCUAAUGGAACUAGCCAGAUUUUUAUCUUGCAAGGGCCAACAAGGUUCUGGACUAGUGGCAUAUGGGAUGGGCGUACUUUCAGCCUGGCUCCUGAGAUGCUCGAAGACUACAUAUUUAAUUACAGUUAUUACUCUAGUAAGGAUGAGAGCUAUUGGAGUUACUCUCUCUAUGAUUCUUCCAUUAUAAGCAGAUUGGUGCUGGAUGUGUCAGGGCAGAUUAAGCAAAGGAAAUGGCUUGAUUCCUCUCAUCAAUGGAAUUUGUUUUGGGCUCGACCAAGAACAAAAUGUGAGGUUUAUGCUUCCUGUGGGCCUUUUGGAAUCUGCCAUGAGAGUGCAGUCGAUGGAUUCUGUGAAUGUUUGCCAGGUUUUGAACCUGUCUCCCCUAAUAACUGGUACUCGGACGAAGGGUGUGAGGAAAGCAGAUUGCAGUGUGGCAAUACUACUCAUGCUAAUGGGGAGAGAGACCAGUUUCGCAAGGUGUCUAGUGUGACACUACCGAAUUAUCCACUAACACUCCCAGCGAGGAGUGCCCAGGAGUGCAAGUCAGCUUGCCUAAAUAACUGCUCUUGCUCUGCUUAUGCCUACGACAGAGAGACGUGUACAGUAUGGAGUGGAGAUCUUCUAAAUUUGCGACAGCCAUCCCAUUACAACAGUAGUGGUCAAGAUUUCUAUCUCAAACUUGCGGCCUCUGAGCUAAAUGGGAAAGGUAAUAAAAGUAGGGAAUGGUCAAACUUUUUUUGUGGAAGGACAGAGCAUAUGAUUUUCUUUUUCUUAAAUAUAAGAUGAAGUUCAUCAAAGAUUAGUUACAUUUAUUUCUUUUUGCAGUUUCAAGCAGCAAGUGGAAGGUGUGGCUAAUUGUUAUACUGGCCAUUUCCCUAACUUCAGCCUUUGUCAUUUGGGGGAUAUGGAGAAAGCUCCGAAGAAAAGGUCAGUAUUUUUCAUGGAUAGAAGAUGGCCAAGCAAUUCAAGGGUAUUUAGAUUCCAUCUACACAUACAAAACCAUUUGUUUUCUGCAAUGAGCUCAUUACCAUUGUUGUAGAAUAAUUAAGGCCAUAUUAGGAUUUCAAUCUCCUGAUUACAUGUGAGUGUGGACCUGCACUAUAGUGCGAUAAAAAUCAAUAAUGAAUCAAUUUAUUCCCAUGCCAGAAUUCCUACAUUCUUAUGAUACUUGACAGCUGUUUCGUCUUUAUCAAGCAGGGGAAAAUUUGUUACUAUUUGAUUUAAGUAACAGCUCAGAAGAUGCCAACUAUGAACUUAGUGAGGCAAAUAAACUUUGGAGAGGCGAGAACAAGGAAGUUGAUUUGCCAAUGUUCAGUUUUGUGAGUGUAUCUGCUGCUACUAAUAACUUCUCUAUUGAAAAUAAACUAGGAGAGGCGGUUUUGGACCUGUUUACAAGGUGAGAUUAGUAUCUGUGAAUUUUCUUGGUAUGUACAGAGUUUCUUUUACUUGGUGUCAUUGUACUAAGUUAAAAUUCCCAUGACAGGGAAAGUCACAAAAAGGAUACGAUGUAGCUGUGAAAAGGCUUUCAAAAAGAUCAGGAUAGGGAUGGGAGGAGUUAAAAGAAUGAAGCCAUGCUUAUAGCCAAGCUGCAACAUAAGAAUCUUGUGAAGUUGUUUGGUUGCUGCAUUGAGCAAGAUGAGAAGAUAUUGAUUUAUGAGUAUAUGCCCAACAAAAGCUUGGAUUUCUUCCUAUUUGGUUUGUAACUUCUACAUAUCUGAACUUCUUGCUACUGUGUAUUCAAUAAAAAACCAUUCAUUAUUAUUCACCACUUAUUUGCUAACAUGAGUUUGUAUUUAUUUGGUGUAAAAUGGAAAUAGAUCCUGCAAAACAUGGGAUUCUGAAUUGGAAGACAUGGGUUCACAUCAUUGAAGGGGUUGCUCAGGGUCUUCUUUAUCUGCAUCAAUACUCCAGAUUGAGGAUUAUUCAUCGAGAUUUGAAGGCUAGCAACAUUCUUCUAGAUAAGGACAUGAAUCCUAAGAUAUCAGAUUUUGGAAUGGUAAGAAUAUUUGGGAGCAACGAAUCAAAAGCAACAAAUCAUAUAGUUGGGACUUAGUAAGUGAAGCCUAACAAAUUCUAAAAUAUGUGAAUGUUCAUACAACUUUUUUUUUUUUUCUACACAUAUAUUUGAAAUCAUGCAGCUACUAAAUCGUUUUGUGAUUAAUAAUCAAAUUCAGUGGCUACAUGUCCCCUGAGUAUGCAUUGGAAGGCCUUUUUUCGACUAAAUCUGAUGUCUUUAGCUUCGGGGUCUUAUUACUAGAGAUUUUGAGUGGCAAGAAGAAUACUGAAUUUUACCAAAGUGACUCCCUCAAUCUUCUCGGAUAUGUGAGUAACACAAUAUUUCCUCACAUAACUAUUUAUGAUGUUUUGAUAUGCUAAUUCUUUGUUUUCAAUUCCCCUGUUAUAUUACCUAUUUGGUUGUCUUGGGCUAGUAAAUUUUCACAUUAUGUUUACCACUCAGUUUCAAAGCUUAUUUCAUAUCAUUGGCUACUAUAAAAAGGACUUUAUUAUCUUUUACUUUUUGGGAAUUUGCAUCAAUGGAUAAUUUUCUUUCUUUUAGGCAUGGGAUCUGUGGAAAGACAACAGGGGACAGGAGUUGAUGGAUCCAGUGUUGGAAGAGACAUUGCCAACACACAUUCUGUUGAAGUACAUCAAUAUAGGCCUUCUUUGUGUUCAAGAAAGUGCAGAUGACAGGCUUACCAUGUCUGAUGUUGUCUCAAUGCUUGGCAAUGAAAGUGUACGUUUACCCUCUCCAAAACAACCGGCAUUUUCAAAUCUGAGAAGUGGGGUGGCACCACAUAUAUUUCAAAACAGGCCUGAAAUUUGUUCCUUAAAUGGUGUGACACUUUCGAUUAUGGAAGCACGAUAAUGGUUCAGAACUUAAUAAAUAAUAUGCUUAAAUUUCAGCAUAUUGUCUUGCGUUGUUUUUGUGAAUUCAUAGCUCAUGUAUUGAAAUGGACAUGUGAUCUAUGUGUUAAUUUUUCUUCCAAAACAGUUCAAUAAUCAUUCAGACCUGUGUCUAAUAUUUUUAUCUGAAACUGUUAUGAAGUCUGAUUUUAUCCAGUUGAAUUUGGAUUUAAUUUGAUUAUGAUCUGUACCCUCAUCAAUCCAAGGAGUGAAGGACAAUUUUCAGAGCUCAAAAACCAACAAAUGGCGCAUUUAGGGCCAAUCCAUCUAUAGAGAGUCAACUAUCCACCUUCCACUUAUUCUCUUAUAUGUGUUUCCGAAUGCCCUGGCAUAUGUAUAUCUUGCACAGAUUCAAUUCUGUACUACUGUAUAUUUACUAUGAGACUGACUAAGUUCUACUGUUUUGAGAAUAGUGCAGUGUAUAUAUCUUGCCAAGAAUAUUCUAUGGAGCAUAAUUCCUUUGUGAAAUCAGAUGUUUCCAGCUAAGGAGUUGAUUGUGAAUCCUGUGACAAGAGGAACUCGAAAUAUUACCUCUCACUGAGAAUCCUGUGAAUUGAAACCUCCUUAACACCUACCAUAUGAAAAUGAAUGAUUUUUCUUUUCUUUUUUUCUGUAAUUUUAUGUAUUAGCAUGGUAAGUGAAUUCAGUUUUCACUGGGCAUCUGAAAGAAGAUAAUUUGAAACAGUUUUUGGUAUGGGGAAUGGGGUAUGAGGACAAGAUGCUGUAAUUGAUGGAUAUGUCAGUGGGGAAAGAAAUUAUCAGAACCCAGGUGUAGGUAUUAACUUAGCUAUAAUGGGGGAAGGGAGUGAACAGAAGCAGGGUUAGCUUCAAUUUCAGAUUCAUAUCAUACAGUGCUUCAUUCAACUAGUAAUAGCGAAGACAAUUCAGCUACUCAGCAUAGGAGGGAGGAAUUAGUUAAGCAGUUGUAGAUUUUUCGCCUUCCAAAUCCAAAGUGAUCAGACAAUUUUCCAGAAAAAAAAAAAGUGGUAUAACGUUCCCUGUGACUUAUAACACUUCCCAUUUGUUUGGACAUAGUUUGAAUAAAACCCCUUUGGUUGCCAAGAAAACCAAGGAAAAUGCAAAAGAGAAAUAACUUGAAGUCUACAAUUUCUGUAGUUUAUGAUGGAAAGCUCAAGUUCAAGCUCAAGUAAGGCUAAACGAGCCCAUUGACCCUCUCUCAUCUCUACAACAUAGACUUCAAAAGCAAAAUGGGUAAAAUAAUGGUCAUUUAAGGGGCCCUGCGCUUGGCUUGGGAAUCAGUUUCAUUGAAUAUUUUAGGAGAGAUAACAUAUAGCAAGUCAAAAAGUAGAUAAGUACAAACUAAUUUUGCCGUCCAGCAUAGAAAAUCUAAUCCCAGUGGGGCCUUAAGUACAUGAAUUUAGUGUUCUUUCCAUCAUUCUUCUCAUUCUGGUCAUGGUCUAGAUUGAAGAAAGGUCCGAUACAAAUUGGAAAAGUCAUAGAAGGAAAUAUAUCUAGAAGGGAAUCCUAACAAAAGGUCUUUCAAAACUGCUACACCUUGCUUUGCAUCGUAGUUGGUCUCUGCAUUGAAUGAGUCUUUUUUUUUCCUAUGUCCCCUGGAGACAGAAAAUCUGAAAACAUUUCUAAAUGGUUUUCCAAAAUACAGUGCAUGGGAGGUUCCAGGACUUUGAGGGAAAGGAAAGCAGCAGAACCAGCUGGGGAAAAUCAGGUAUCUGAUUUCUUCUAUUAAUUCAUCAGCAUGAAAAGGAUCAUUUCCUGCCACUCUAAUGUUGUUUAAUCUAUUCAACCACGGAAAUUAGGGAAGACUUUGACGAAAAUGAUGCGCGGUCAAGUUCUGCUACCUGCUACAUUGAAUUAUGCUUAUCUAGGGAAGAUGCAUUGAAGUCUUAGAGCAUUUGAGAUUUUUUUUUUCUUUUUUUCUCUUAAGACACAAUUAAUUGUCCAUAAAUUAAUAGCUUGGGAACAAGGAAAAUCAAUUAAUUAAGUGAAUAUUAAUUGCUUAUUAAUUAAUAAAUCAUUAAUUUAUCAAGAUAGUUCUUAUUUUUUCAAAAUAUUGUAUUCAAUAUUAUUUAUUAUAAUUGUUAGGAAGUGUCCCAAUUUCCUAAUUAGUAUAAAUUUAUUUUUUGUAAAGAAUAUUAUAUGAAUGUUUUUAGGUUAAUAUAUUAUUGUAAUAUUAGAUUUUCUUAUAGGGUAAGGAAGGUUGUUGGAAAUAUCUUUGUACAUAUUCUAGGUCAUGAGGAGAAAAAGUUAUGAGAUGGAAAUGACCAUGUAAAGAUUAUACGGGGUAAAUAGAGAUGUGAGAAAGAACGGGAGGUACUCGGUGGAGCGAGAUGACUUGUGGUAGGGUAGGGAUACGAAGAGUAGGAAAACAGGAGAUGUUUUAAGAACCCAAUAAUUGUAUCUGGUUAUGUCCUCUAUAAUGUUUUGGUUCUAUCCUUUGUAAUGUUCUCUAUUGUAUAAUGAAAUGAUUCUCUCUCAUCUGUGGACGCAGACAUGGUUGGUCGGAUGUGAUGAGGGAGCAGCAACACCACUCUUCAUCUCUGAACUAGACUGUGAUGUAGACUUUGGUAUGGAUCUUGACCCCAACUCAACCUCCACCUGUGUGCUUGAUUUUUAUUGCUCUUUAUCACAAGAAUAUCUAAAAGAUGAGUCAUGAAGCAUAGUAGUUUCAUAAAAAAUAACAUCUCUAUUGACCAUGACUUUCUUGGUUUUUAAACACCAUAACUUAUAUCCUUUAACACUAGACUUAUAGCCAAGGAAGACACAUUUUAUAGACCUAGGUUCUAGCUUUCCAUUAUCAACAUGAGUAUAGGCAGGACAUCUAAAUACCUUCAAAUCAGGGUAACUAGCAGGAGUACCAGACCAUACCUCUUGUGGAGUUCUUUUGUUAGUAGUAGUUGAGGGAUAACGAUGAAUGAGGAAACAAGAUGUAGCUUUAGUCCAAAAAGACUUAGGUAAACCAACAAUGGAAAGCAUAUAAUGUACUUUCUCCAUCAAAGUCCUAUUCAUUUGCUUUGCCACACCGUUUUGCUGUGGGGUAUGACGAACUGUAUGAUGCCUCGCGAUUUCUUCUGACUUGCAUAGAACAUUAAAUUCAUAAGAACAAAACUCCAAGCCAUUAUCAGUGCGAAGACGUUUUACCUGCUUCCAUGUCUGCUUCUCAAUCAUAAUUGUCCACUCCUUGAAUGUAGCUAACAUAUCACUCUUUUUCUUCAAGAAGAACACCCAAACUUUUCUGGAAAAAAUCAUCAAUGAUAGUUAACAUAUAACUAACACAUCCCUUAGAAGGCACCCUAGAUGGUCCCCGAAGAUUAGAAUGUAUAUAAUUGAGUGUCCUCUUUGUGUUGUGAAUGCCUUUUGUGAAUUUGACUCUUCUCUGCUUCCCAAAAACGCAGUGCUCAUAGAACUUUAGUUUUCUAAUACUCUAACCAUUAAGAAGUCCUCUUUUGCUCAAUUCAAUCAUCCCAUUCUCACUCAUAUGCCUAAGGCGCAUAUGCCAAAGUCUAGUAACAUCACCAUCUAAUAAGGAAGAAGUAGCAACAACUACAUCACUUAUAACUGUGGAUCCCUACAAGACAUAUAAUUUGGUAGAUCUUUUCUGCCAUUUCAUCACAACAAGAACACAUUUACUAACCUUUAAGACUCCACCUUCACCAGUAUACUUGUACCCUUUUGAAUCAAGAGUACUCAAUGAGAUAAAGUUCCUCUUUAGAUUUGGAAUGUGUCUCAUAUCACCAAACAUAGAUGGACAUUCAAGAAUAAAGAUUAGAAUUAGAUUUGAACCCAAACAUCAUUUAAAUCAGAGAUUGUAUAGGUCAUUAUAGAAGAUUAUUAUUAAAUUUGGCCCGAAAAAUAAAUCUUUUACAUUUUACUCCCUACUAUAAGUGACCUACCACCAGCCUAAAAAGAAGAAAUGUGGGCCUAAUGAGGGUUUUUUUUUUUUUUUUGAUAUUUUCCAUUUAUAUAACUAACUUGAACAAUGGUGUACCCUUAAAAGUAGAAAAGAUCCAUGUAGUAUUCUUCGGUUUAUUAUGGUUAUGUUUGGUUAUGAGAAAAUUUAAAGGAAAAUGUGAAGAAAAGAAAAUAAAAAAGAAAAAUAAAAAGAAAGAAAAUUAAAAAUGGGUUUAAAUUCAAUGAAUUAUUUUUAUAUGCUUCUCCAAACUCAUUUCACUUUUUUUUUUCAUUAUAAUAAGAUUAAAUAAUUUAAAAAUAUAUAAAAUUUUAACUAAUUUUAUUUUAUUUUGUAUUUUUUCAUAAUGAAACUAAAUAUAAGAAAACUAUUUUUCUUAACUUUUUUUUUCUUAAUAUUUUCCAAGAGACUAAAUAUAGCCUAGAUGUAUCUAGUAGAAAGAUCCAACAUGGGGUUGGAAAAAAAUCAUAGAAGAAGAUAUAUCUUGAAGGGGAGAUCAAAGGAUAUUAAAUGGGACUAUGACCCACACCUGAGAUUUAUGGGCUGCUUAAUGGAACAAACCAGAUUUUUAUCCACCAUAUUGAAUAUUGAAUAUGGUAUUCUUCCAAUUAUUAAAUGUAUUCAGCGAAAAGGUCCAAUUGUUAGUAAAAGAAGAACAGGUCAAACUAUCGUACUAGGGUGCUAUGAGUGAGAUUGUGAUUACAUCAACUUUUAAUUAUUUAGAAUAUUGUCCAUUAUAUAUUUUAAUUUUUUAUAAUAUUAAUUUAUUUUAUUGAUUAAGAAUUAUAAUUUAAUGUAUACUUAACAUUAAAAUCUUAUAUAGUUCCAAUUUCAUACAAGUAACUAAAUUUUUUAUAUUGAUCUCAUCUCUGCACCCAAAUGCCCAUUUCCUCUUGAAGAUUAAAAAUUAAAAAUAAAAAUUAAUCCAUCUAACAACCAAGUUAAAAUGUAUUUAUAUAUCAUAAAAAAAAAAAAUCAUCACCGAAUAAACCAAUAACCAUAAAAAUAAAAAUGGAAAAUCAUCUAUAAAUAAAUCAAAACAAAAUAUAAAAAGAAAAUAAUAUUUUCAUGGUUGAUUAACCCUAUGAGUUGGAUGAUAAAAGCGUUAAUAUCGAGUUGGAGGCAAAACCAAUAACCAUCGGAAGAUAUUCUUCGAUUGCUACCACACGGUGCUGUAGAAUUUUCCAAAAGGGAGGCCAGUGUAAAGGAGACGUGCAAGAUGUUCUUCUAUUGCUUCCACACAGUGGUGUCGAAUUUUCCUAGAAGAUAUAUUGAAAGGGAGAUCAGUGGAAAGGAGACUUUGACUCACCGGUCGUUGGGCCUCAGGUCCGCCACUGCCUGUUUUGGAUGACUAUAAAACUAUUGAUGGGCUGCUUAAACGCUGCUUAUGAGUUAUGGUUAACAUGAAAAUUUCAACCAGAAGGUGGUCUGCUAAUCUUGUUUUCUUGCUUAUUUCUUCAGGUUUUCACUGGCAAUUUGUUGAUGCAUUUACAGAUACAAUCUUACAAGGUCAAUCAAUCACAACCUCUCAGACCAUCAUCUCUGCUGGAGGUAACUUUGAAUUAGGAUUCUUUUCUCCUGGAAAGUCCACAAAAUACUAUGUGGGGAUAUGGUACAAGAAAAUCUUAGAGCAAACCAUUGUGUGGGUAGCUAACCGAGACUAUUCAUUCACAAAUCCGUCCGUGAUUCUCACUGUCAGCACAGAUGGCAACCUCGAGAUUUUGGAGGGGAAGUUUUCGUACAAGGUGACAAGCAUAUCAUCAAACAGCAACACUAGUGCCACCCUGUUGGAUUCUGGAAAUCUUGUUUUGAGGAAUG